GCCUGUUUUACAAAAACAUGUCUCUAUGAAGAUAUAUACAGUUUGACCUGCCCACUGAAUUAUUAAAGGGCCGCGGUAUUCCUGACCGUGCGAAGGUAGCAUAAUCAUUAGUCUUUUAAUUGAAGGCUUGUAUGAAAGGUUGGACGAAAAAUGGACUGUUUCAAAUAAAAAGAUUGAAUUUAACUUUUAAGUGAAAAGGCUUAAAUAAAUUAAAAAGACGAUAAGACCCUAUAAAUCUUUACAUUUGUUAUUAUAGGUUUUGGAUUGUGUGUGUAAAAAAAAAUAUAAUAAAAAUGUUGUGUUGGGGCAACAGUGAUAUAGUAAUAUUAAUUGUUAAAAAUAAAAACAAAUAUAUUUGUUAAAUAAAGAUCCUUUUUAAAGAUUUAAAGAUUAAGUUACUUUAGGGAUAACAGCGUUAUUUUUUCUGAGAGUUCUUAUCGAAGAAAAAGAUUGCGACCUCGAUGUUGAAUUAAAAAUUCUUUUUAAUGCAGCAGUUAAAAAAGAAAGUCUGUUCGACUUUUAAAUUUUUACAUGAUUUGAGUUCARACCGGCGUGAGCCAGGUUG
rnacentral:rRNA from 1 species